GUAUUCAUUACAGUUAGAUCUUCAGCAAUUGUCAGGUGAGCAAUGUUUCUUCUUUACUUGAGUUUCAGAGUCUCUUAAGAAGUUUGGGAAGAGCCGUUGAUAUAAGAGAAGGCAAUUAAAAUUGAGAGAGAAUCCAUAACCCGAUAAAAAUAAAUGGCUGAUGUGAAUUUAUAGAGAUAUUGAAAUAUGUGAGAUGUGGGGAAUUAUUUUGAUUGGUCUAUCAUGUGCAGGCUGAGGAUUAUUUGAGAGGACAUCCUUUUAACAAGACAAGUCAGUUUCUUUUCUUCUUUAAAUGUAAUGCAUUGUUUCCUCCAUAAUUGUGGGUUAUUGCAUUGUUGUUGUGG